UAAUAUGUGUGAAAAUCUCGAAACAUCAUACAAUUAGGAACAGAGGAAAUACAAGUGAACAGAGCUAAUGAUAACGUAUGAUUAAGAGAAACACACGGAGGAGCAUAAAGUCUGAUUUUAUUAUUCAGAAUCCCAAUAGUUUAUUCCUCUCUAAUCAUUAUAGAAUGAUUUUAAAAUAAUUAAAAUUGAAAGCAAGUCCAUGAGUUAGUUAUCUUGUUAAACAUCUUUUUAUAUCCCAGCAAUCUAGGAAAGCUUGAAAAAUAGUUAUUUCCAAAUAUAGCAACAUCUUAUAAAACCAAAGACCGUAUAAAUGAGUACUACACUAACCAGAUUAGGAAAGCUUCUGGACGAAUCAGAAGUUGAAGGAGAAGAUCUCUCCUCUAUCUCGUUUCUCUCACUCUAAAGAGACCAAGAAAUUGUUGAGAAAACUCUCACAAAACAUGAAAGAAACAGAGAAGAAGAUGAUAAGAGAGGUUCUUUACUUCUUUUGGGUACAGACAGAAAGUGACAGGAGCAUAAAGAUAUUACAGCGAGGGAGAU
rnacentral:lncRNA from 1 species